CCUACGGGAGGCAGCAGUGGGGAAUAUUGCACAAUGGGGGAAACCCUGAUGCAGCCAUGCCGCGUGUGUGAAGAAGGCCUUCGGGUUGUAAAGCACUUUCAGUUGUGAGGAAAAGUUAGUAGUUAAUACCUGCUAGCCGUGACGUUAACAACAGAAGAAGCACCGGCUAACUCCGUGCCAGCAGCCGCGGUAAUACGGAGGGUGCGAGCGUUACUCGGAAUUACUGGGCGUAAAGCGCACGCAGGCGGUUUGUUAAGCUAGAUGUGAAAGCCCCGGGCUCAACCUGGGAUGGUCAUUUAGAACUGGCAGACUAGAGUCUUGGAGAGGGGAGUGGAAUUCCAGGUGUAGCGGUGAAAUGCGUAGAUAUCUGGAGGAACAUCAGUGGCGAAGGCGACUCCCUGGCCAAAGACUGACGCUCAUGUGCGAAAGUGUGGGUAGCGAACAGGAUUAGAUACCCGUGUAGUC
rnacentral:rRNA from 1 species